rnacentral:rRNA from 1 species
CCGGCGACCGGCGCACGGGUGAGUAACACGUAUGGAACCUGCCCUAUGCAGGGGGAUAAGCGGAAGAAAUUCCGUCUAAUACCGCAUAACACCUUUAGGAGACAUCUUCUUGGGGUCAAAGGAGGCGACUCCGGCAUAGGAUGGCCAUGCGUCGCAUUAGCUAGUCGGCGGGGUAACGGCCCACCGAGGCGACGAUGCGUAGGGGUUCUGAGAGGAAGGUCCCCCACACUGGUACUGAGACACGGACCAGACUCCUACGGGAGGCAGCAG